rnacentral:rRNA from 1 species
GAUGAACGCUGGCGGCGUGCCUAAUACAUGCAAGUCGAGCGAACGGACGAGAAGCUUGCUUCUCUGAUGUUAGCGGCGGACGGGUGAGUAACACGUGGAUAACCUACCUAUAAGACUGGGAUAACUUCGGGAAACCGGAGCUAAUACCGAAUAAUAUUUUGAACCGCAUGGUUCAAAAGUGAAAGACGGUCUUCCUGUCACUUAUAGAUGGAUCCGCGCUGCAUUAGCUAGUUGGUAAGGUAACGGCUUACCAAGGCAACGAUGCAUAGCCGACCUGAGAGGGUGAUCGGCCACACUGGAACUGAGACACGGUCCAGACUCCUACGGGAGGCAGCAGUAGGGAAUCUUCCGCAAUGGGCGAAAGCCUGACGGAGCAACGCCGCGUGAAUGAUGAAGGUCUUCGGAUCGUAAAACUCUGUUAUUAGGGAAGAACAUAUGUGUAAGUAACUGUGCACAUCUUGACGGUACCUAAUCAGAAAGCCACGGCUAACUACGUG